GGAUGUCCGUGUGAAGUCUUUAAUAUACGGAUCAUCAUAUCACGACCUGGGUGUCCCAAACUGUCAUGCCAAAGCCUAUAUGUGUCAGAAUCCCAUAAGUCAUCUCUCAUGACAUGGUUGGAUUCAAUAAUUCGAAUAGUGGUUGCAUACAACCCACUAGAGCGACACAUAAGUUUCUCUAAUACUCGUUUAUGUCCGUAGUCAUUAGAGGUGAUGCAAAGGAACUCUUGUCCAUUCUCACAAUGUGUUUCCACAUGAAAACCAUUGGCUCUUAUAUCUUUAAAACUCAAUAGGGUUCUUCCAGCCCUAGGAGCAUAUAGAGCUUCGGUGACAUUAAUACUUAUGCCAUUUGGCAACAUAAAUUAAGCUGGUUCUCAACCAUGAAUCAAUUGUGAUGGUCCAGCCAUCGUAGUCACAGAAGAUCGACUAGGCGUCAUCCAUAGAAAUAGUUGCCUAUGUCACAAUAUAGUAUGUGUGGUGCCACUAUCAACAAGGCAUUCCAACUCUCCAGGAAACAUGCGCCACCACCACG
rnacentral:lncRNA from 1 species